CAGUCGCCGCGGUAAUACGAGGGGGGCAAGCGUUGUUCGGAAUUAUUGGGCGUAAAGGGUGCGUAGGCGGCUUGACAAGUCUUGUGUGAAAUCUAUGGGCUCAACCCAUAGUCUGCACGGGAAACUGUCGGGCUUGAGAAUGGGAGAGGUGAGUGGAAUUUCCGGUGUAGCGGUGAAAUGCGUAGAUAUCGGAAGGAACACCUGUGGCGAAAGCGGCUCACUGGACCAUUUCUGACGCUGAUGCACGGAAGCUAGGGGAGCAAACAGGAUUAGAUACCCCUGUAGUCCCUGUCUCUUAUAC
rnacentral:rRNA from 1 species